CACGAAUUAUACAAUGGGCUAAUUGGGCAUUUUGCUAAUUUCACAUUCAGUUUUUGUCCAAAUUGAACCAAAAUUUAAUCGAUUCGUCCACAAAUUAAAUAGCCCUACAAGUACAAAUUUUCGUAUUAGUACGUUUUUUUUUAUAUUUCCUGAGUUUCGUGCUAACAGACAAACACACAUAUGCAUAAAUUUCCUGGACCUGGCUGAGGUAGAAAUAUGGAUUUGCGUGGUUUUACGAAUAUUUUUGGCAAAAGAAACUUUUGAACUAUUCGUCAAAGGAAAUUCCGCGUCACGGGUAACUACGCAACAUCAAUAUCAUUCAAAGAGCGAUUAAAGCCUUUUUGUAUAAAAACAUAAUUACGUAUUCAAGAAUUAAAAGCAUUGACAACUUCCUAACGUCAAAUCGCCUAUAUUUCGCUUGAGGAAUUGUUUUAUUGAUGGUCUAAACGUCAGAACAAGUUAAAGUCGUUGGAGUAUCUAUAAAUGUAAGUUCUUUUCUAUUAUAAUUUAUGUGUUUAAAGUUAGCAAUAUUUCACUUGUUGUUGUAAGAUACAUUUAGUGACAUUAUACACUUUGGGUAUUCGGGUGUCUCAAAAAUGUAGUCAUUUGACUUUGGCAUGUUAUGUUGCUUUAGUUUUUGGUAGAUUAACUUUUUCCAUACCAAAAAAGUAUCAGGAUUUUAAGCUGUCAAAAUGAUUAUAUUUUGUAUCCCUGCGAUAAAAAAUAGCCAAAUACGAACCGACUUAAAA
rnacentral:lncRNA from 1 species